UAUAAAAUAUUUUUUCUUUAACAA
rnacentral:tRNA from 1 species